AGAGUUUGAUCAUGGCUCAGAACGAACGCUGGCGGCAUGCCUAACACAUGCAAGUCGAACGCGUGUAGCAAUACACGAGUGGCGCACGGGUGAGUAAUACGUGGGAACCUGCCCUGGAGUGGGGGAUAACCCGGCGAAAGCCGGGCUAAUACCGCAUACGACCUGAGGGUGAAAGAUUUAUCGCUCUUGGAGGGGCCCACGUCGGAUUAGCUAGUUGGUGAGGUAACGGCUCACCAAGGCGACGAUCCGUAGCUGGUCUGAGAGGAUGAUCAGCCACACUGGGACUGAGACACGGCCCAGACUCCUACGGGAGGCAGCAGUGGGGAAUAUUGGACAAUGGGCGCAAGCCUGAUCCAGCAAUGCCGCGUGAGUGAUGAAGGCCUUAGGGUUGUAAAGCUCUUUCGGCGGGGACGAUGAUGACGGUACCCGCAGAAGAAGCCCCGGCUAACUUCGUGCCAGCAGCCGCGGUAAUACGAAGGGGGCAAGCGUUGUUCGGAAUUACUGGGCGUAAAGGGCGCGUAGGCGGCUCUUGAAGUCAGAUGUGAAAGCCCCGGGCUUAACCCGGGAACUGCAUUUGAUACUCGAGAGCUUGAGUUCGGGAGAGGAGAGUGGAAUUCCCAGUGUAGAGGUGAAAUUCGUAGAUAUUGGGAAGAACACCAGUGGCGAAGGCGGCUCUCUGGACCGACACUGACGCUGAGGCGCGAAAGCGUGGGGAGCAAACAGGAUUAGAUACCCCCGUAGUCC
rnacentral:rRNA from 1 species